rnacentral:lncRNA from 10 species
GUGUGUGUGUGUGUGUGUGUGAGAGAGAGAGAGAGAGAGAGAGAGAGAGUCUUGCUGUGUUGCCCAGGCUGGAGUGCAGUGGUGUGAUCUCAGCUCACUGCAACCUCCACUUUUUAGAUUCAAGCAAUUCUCAUGCCUCAGCCUCCCAAGUAGCUGGGACUACAGGCACGCAUCACACGGGCCUGGCUAAUUUUUGUAUUUUUAAUAGAGAUGGGGUUUCACCGUGUUGGCCAGGCUGGCCUCAAAUUCUUGGCCUCAUGUGAUCUGCCUGCCUUGGCCUCCCAAAUUGCUGGAAUUACAGGCAUGAGCCACUGUGCCCAGCCAGAAGUCAUUGCUUUUAACCAAAAAUUAAGCCAUGAGGAAAUAAGAAAAGAGAUCUGCACUAGGAGCCAGAAAUAUGAAGUUCAGUUUUCGUUCAUAUCUUUCUGUGUGAUCUUCGAGAAGACAUGGACUCUCUCCUAGCUUCAGGUUCCAAACCUCUGAAGUAAUAUAAUAAACUUCUUUAUUAUAUUGGAGAGGUUGAACAUGAUCAAACAGAAACAUGUUUGAAAAAGUCCUUAUGUCUGGGCCCCAUCUAGUUCCUCCUCUCAGUGCCUUUCACAGUCUUCUUUCCAUUCUCAUUGCCAGGGCUCCUGGCCAGGGCCCUGUGUCCUUGGCCUGACUAUCCCAGCAGUCUCUUCAUUGAGCUCUCUGCUCCAGCCACCUCACCUCCUAUGCCCACACACACUGUUUCCUCCAUAUUCUACCAUUCCUCAUUUGCCAUUGUAUAUAUGCUUUCUUAUUUUGCUAUUUGCCUGAUUCCUUUGUAUUUUGUCUUUCAAGUUUCCAAGACUAGUGACCAUACAUCUCUUUUUAACUUCAGCAAUUUAUAAAGCAGUGCUUUAACAAAUAUUUCC